rnacentral:rRNA from 1 species
UACGGGGGGAGCAAGCGUUGUUCGGAUUUACUGGGCGUAAAGGGCGCGUAGGCGGUCGUGACAAGUCACUUGUGAAAUCUCCGGGCUUAACUCGGAACGGUCAAGUGAUACUGUCGGACUAGAGUACAGAAGGGGCAACUGGAAUUCUCGGUGUAGCGGUGAAAUGCGUAGAUAUUCGCAAGAACACCAGUGGCGAAGGCGGCUCACUGGCCCGAUACUGACGCUGAGGCACGAAAGCGUGGGGGAGCAAACAGG